CCUACGGGCGGCAGCAGUGGGGAAUAUUGGACAAUGGGGGCAACCCUGAUCCAGCCAUGCCGCGUGUGUGAAGAAGGCCCUCGGGUUGUAAAGCACUUUCAGUGAGGAAGAACGCCUGGUGGUUAAUACCCAUCAGGAAAGACAUCACUCACAGAAGAAGCACCGGCUAACUCCGUGCCAGCAGCCGCGGUAAUACGGAGGGUGCGAGCGUUAAUCGGAAUUACUGGGCGUAAAGCGCGCGUAGGUGGCUUGAUAAGCCGGUUGUGAAAGCCCCGGGCUCAACCUGGGAACGGCAUCCGGAACUGUCAAGCUAGAGUGCAGGAGAGGAAGGUGGAAUUCCCGGUGUAGCGGUGAAAUGCGUAGAGAUCGGGAGGAAUACCAGUGGCGAAGGCGGCCUUCUGGACUGACACUGACACUGAGGUGCGAAAGCGUGGGUAGCAAACAGGAUUAGAUACCCUGGUAGUC
rnacentral:rRNA from 1 species